rnacentral:misc_RNA from 1 species
UUAUUUAUUUAUUUUGUUCUGUGUUUAUUUUUCUAAAUGGUGAAAAGCAUUUACUAACAAUGUUCCUACAGCAUUUACCUUACACAGUAUCUAACAAAACAUGCUUAAUCUACAUCUGUUGCAAGUUGGUCCUUGAGUAAAUUACACAUCAUGAACGUCAAACUAACUUAGGAGUAGGCCAGCAAGCCAAGUAUGUAAAAGAACUUGCGCUCUGGCAGAGAAUAGAUCAUCUCUGGGCUUGGUCUGAACCUGAAGGUCCAACAGGAGGAGCAGCACUGCUUGCUGACCCAUUCUCAGCAGGAGG